rnacentral:rRNA from 1 species
CGACCGGCGCACGGGUGAGUAACGCGUAUGCAACCUGCCUGAUACCGGGGUAUAGCCCAUGGAAACGUGGAUUAACACCCCAUAGUACUUUUAUCCUGCAUGGGAUGUGAGUUAAAUGUUCAAGGUAUCGGAUGGGGAUGCGUCCUAUUAGUUAGUUGGCGGGGUAACGGCCCACCAAGACGAUGAUAGGUAGGGGUUCUGAGAGGAAGGUCCCCCACAUUGGAACUGAGACACGGUCCAA